UCCACCCAUGAAAUUCUUCUGGAGGGGCCUCUCAGGAAGGGCGGCUACUGACCUGGGGCUAUGGGUUAUGCUGGUUCUUCGUUGCCCCUCCCUCACAGGAGGCCUGGGAAGGAAAGGUUUCACUUUCGAAGGAUGAGAUGGCUAAACAGAAAGGCCUUGUUGGUCACUUGCAAUCAGACUAGGCCUGGUGGUUGCCACAGUGACUGACUUGAGGGGGUAUCAGGGGUGUGGGGACCUCUGGGAAGAAGACUGGGAACCUGGAGGCCCAACAGUGGUCGGUGAGGAACCAACCAUGACUUGGUUUCAGAGUCCACUGGUUUGGAGCAGAAAGGAACAUUAUGGCACCAGCUGGGAGCUACAAAUGCCCUUGGGGGUCCCAGUUGCUGCUGGAGUCCUAGCCCUCCUGGCCCUCCUGGCGUUGGCUUAUCACUGUCUCAAAGAGGCCUGGAAGUCCAGAUGGAAGCUUUGCCAUGUGGGCUGGAGGUGUUCUCAAACUGGAAAGAGCCUACACCUUGUCUUCAUCCACAGCCCAAAUCAAGGCCAGCUGGAAACAGUCUCUUCAGAGCCCCCUGGCCCUCUGCUGCCUUCUCCACUGUCUCUCUGAAGGUUCUAAUGGCACCAGGACAGCACCUCAGCUUUGGGUCUGAAGAUCCCCAUGUUUUAGAGGAGGUUAUGGUAUCUACCAAGCACCCUGACUGUAACAUCUGUUAGUGUGGAUGAAGGAUCCAUGGGAGGAGGGUGAUGUGGGGUGAAGGGAGGUCUUUGUCUCAUGGGUGUCAGGCAUGAGGGAGAGAAGGCAGAAGUGUCUGUCUUCUCUGGUUUAUGGCAUCAAAGCUUUCUCUCCCCAAAGUCACCCUCAAGGAGCCAAGGUUCUGGUUACACAAUCUUAGCAGUAGCUUACUCCCCUGGGGGUGAUACCAUGACUCAAAAUGGGGGCCAUAGGCUAGAAGCAAAAGCCCAAGGCCCUCCAGAGUGGCCAAUGAAUGUCUCAGCAGGCAGAGGGAAGCUACCUCUGACCUCCACUCCCAAAAUCUCUCUCACUGCCCAGGCGGUGCUUUUGAGUCUAAUGUCCAGGCUAGCUCCUUCCUGGGACCACAGCAAGUGCCACUGCAACCUCACCCUUUGUAGCCCAAGCUCUCUUGGCUCAGACCAGGCACCAGAGAAGUCAGGGCCUAUUGAAGCAUAUCAGUGAACCCUGGCUGGUGAGUACUAAGCCUGUGGAACUUUCUGAGUCAGGGCACUGCUGAAGGCCUAUUCCCCUGUGCCCUCUAUGACUUGUGGACUCCUGAGAUCACCCAGGACUGCUUGAUUAUUUUUUCCUGGGCUUCCCUGGGUUGGGGAGGGUGAAUUAGUAAUGGCAGGUUAGUUAGGCUAUGGGGAGUAGAAUCUGAAAGUGAUUCCUGCCCCUGGAGAUGCACAGGCUCACGAGCCAGUUCUCUGGAGUGUAGACAUCACCCCGCAUGCACCAACACCCUUCUCUGAUUAGGUCCCACUAUGUGGAGACGGUGGAGGGGUUGGUGCAGAUUAAUUAUAGUCUCUAAUUAAUUAAAUCGUCUCUGAGUUAAGUAAGAGAUGGGGCUGGGAAAACUGGUGCAUGCCUGUGGUCUAAGCUAAAUGUGGCAGGUUGGGGCAGCAGGAUGACUUGAGUCCAAGACAUCAAGGUCAGCCUAGAUGACAAAGCACAGCCCUGCCUUAACUCUCAGUGGGGUCUGCUAUGUAGCUCAGGCUGGCCUGCAACUUGUUAUGUAGUCCCAGCUGGCCACAUCUGAGAUCCUCAUACCUUAGCUCCCUGAGUAUUAAGACUAUAGGCUCAUGGAGUUUGAGACCUCGAUUCUCAAAGGUGGUGGUGAUAAUGAAGCAGAUGGCCUGAUUUGGUCAGAGAGCUGUCUGGAGUCUAGAUUCUGUCCAUAGCUGCACAGGAGGGGAUGAGCUACCAGCCUUAGGGGCUGUCACCUUGACUGCAGCUAUGUGUGACGCCAGGCAAAGGACACUAUUCAGUCCUCCCAGAGGCCUGGUUCAUCAGAAGCAUGAGCUAACAAACGGGAGGUUUUGGCAGCUGA